CUUGACAGCAUUGAAGGCGCGGAUAUUCCACUGGAUGGUGAACAGGGCAUCCCUGGGGAGGGGCAGCCCUGGGCUGUGAGCAGGCUCAGUGCUGCCCCCUGCAGGUAUGGCCCCAAUGUGCACCUGGGGCAGGUUAGCUCUCACAGUCUUCCCAACAGCCCUUGGGAGCAGGUCCUAAUGCCUCUGCUUUAUAAGUGAGAUUGAGGGAGAGGCCCAGGAGCCCACAGUUCUGCUUCCAGGGCAGGACUCCUGAGCCUGAAUGUCCUGGUGGCCUCUACAAGUGUCGAAGACCGCAGGAACUGCUAAGCCACCAGGCUCUGUGGUCAGUCGGCCUGGGCUCACAGGCCAGCGGGCACGCGCCAGCUGUCACUGGAUCUGACUCAGCCCCCCCUCUGCUGAGUACAGAUAACCACCUACCUCUCAGGACUCUUGCAUAUUUUAACCAAGAUAGUGUGAAUGAAGCAUCUUGCCUGGGGCCUGGCACUUUAGAGUCUUGGAAGAUGCUGUUGCCUCAUUACCACUCCAGGAGCGAAGAGACAGGGUACCCCGACCUUGGUGUGGCCAAACUGGUACUGGGUGGCAUCGAAGUCCAGUGAGCCCAGCAGCUUCUCUGUGGCCUUCCUGCUGUCCAUGAAGGUAUCAUCUGGGAUGGCGCUGGGGUUCAGGAUGCGGUAUCUGGGACGGCAGGGGAGGGCUGGUGAGAGGGCUGGGGUGGGGGACGCUGGCCACGGAGAACAGGGAGGCCAACUGAGGAGGCCGGUGGGGGAGUGGCAGGGAGACCAUUCCUGGGCCUCUCUAAGGCUGGAGCAGAGGUUCCAGGGGGGCACACUGAACAAGGGGCCGAGGAGGCAGCAUCACAUUGGUGGAUUGGGCACAUUCUGCUCAACAACCUUGCGGAGGGGGUCAUUUAAAUGUACUCGCUAAGUUUUUAAGAGGCUGUAGUUUUUAUAAAAGGCAUGCACUACUACUUUUAUAAUUUUUAGGGCAAAAAAUGUAAAGAAGGGGGCAUGUUAUACCAUAAACAAACUGUAAUAAAGAGCAAGUGUCCCCAGCACGUGCCAUGCACAGGGCCACGUGAUCAGAUGGGCUGUGGCCACACCGUGAAGGCAAAACCUUGGAAACACGAAAGGCCGCACACUAGGGGGACCCAUUAACCAAACGUGGUUCACUAGACUAUGAGAUGCUUCACAGCCAUAAAACACAGAUGGCCGUUGAUAAGGACAAUCUCCAAGACAGACUGUUACAUUAAAAAACAAAUAGCA